rnacentral:piRNA from 1 species
UCCAUAUACCUCAUGCAUUGUGGGUUAAAA